AUUGGCAACCCUUAGGAGGAAAGAGAUGAAUCACAAGGGAUUGUGGAAUCAUUAGAAAUUGAGGAUUAGAACAUCCGAGAUUAAAAUGUCUCACACGUCAGUGCAGCAGAAUUUCCCAGCGACUUCGGUGGCGGGAGAGCAGCACCUCUCAGGCACAGCUGUGCGGAUCCCUCGGGCCCCACCGACCGCGGGAAACGAAAUCUGAGCUCAGGAAUUUGAACUGCCCCACGCACGUUCGUUCCCGGAUAAAUCUCCUAGAGGACCGUGAUUUUUCCACUUAGAGAUUAUUUAGGGAGAUGUCCUGGAUGGGACAGGUAGACAAAUGGCGGCCCGAGGAAAAUGCAGGAAACUCUACAUUGUAGACGCUUAAGCACCAACUGUCUGGGCCCCGGGGCAGGGGACGGGAGACAUUAUCCACCGGAAACAUCACACCCCCGGGGCUCCUGGCAUUUUCUACAUCAGUGAAUGUGCCAGCGAAGAAGAGUGUGGGGAAAUUUUCUGAACAUAGAAUUCAUAUUCCUGAAACGUUAAGUCGUGAAGUGGGUGCUUCAGCUGUCCCCCAGCUUUAGGAUUUUAACCCAGCUUUGGUUUUAAUCACCAAGAGUUAUUCCUUAUAAUCAAAUCAGCAAAAGCGUUCAAUUACCUAUUACUGGUUGAGAAAGAUUCCGUUCCCCCAGCUCAUUGUAUCGGUUCUCGGACCCAAGAUGUUAAUUAUCGGCCAGGCAUUCACAGGGGGUUAAUAUGGCCCCCCUCGACACCUUGCCUCGUACCAGAGACACCAAAAGCUGCUGCUGAGGGAUAAUGGGGAAUGGGAAAAGCUGGUCAUGAAAAACCUCUUUUAUUCUUACUUGCAAGCUACCCUUUUGACAUUCUUUUUUAAACACUAAAUGGAGAUUACUGAAUUGAUAACUUUUGGGUUUUCUCUGUCACACUGGGGUUUUUUUUCCCCCGUUUGUUUGUAAGGUUUUUUUGGUUUU
rnacentral:lncRNA from 1 species